rnacentral:rRNA from 1 species
GAUGAACGCUAGCGGGAGGCCUAACACAUGCAAGCCGAGCGGUAGAGAUCUUUCGGGAUCUUGAGAGCGGCGUACGGGUGCGGAACACGUGUGCAACCUGCCUUUAUCAGGGGGAUAGCCUUUCGAAAGGAAGAUUAAUACCCCAUAAUAUAUUGAAUGGCAUCAUUUGAUAUUGAAAACUCCGGUGGAUAGAGAUGGGCACGCGCAAGAUUAGAUAGUUGGUAGGGUAACGGCCUACCAAGUCAGUGAUCUUUAGGGGGCCUGAGAGGGUGAUCCCCCACACUGGUACUGAGACACGGACCAGACUCCUACGGGAGGUAGCAGUGAGGAAUAUUGAACAAUGGGUGAGAGCCUGAUCCAGCCAUCCCGCGUGAAGGACGACGGCCCUAUGGGUUGUAAACUUCUUUUGUAUAGGGAUAAACCUUUCCACGUGUGGAAAGCUGAAGGUACUAUACGAAUAAGCACCGGCUAACUCCGUG